UUAGGUGCUGCUUCACUUUACCCUCCCUGUUUUACCCUCUGCCUCUUCUGUUCCCCUUUGCCUCUUCUGUUCCUUCCUUCUAGCUUCUGCCGAUUUGCCCUAAGCGUUUCGCCCGAUUUGCUCCCUCUGUUUCUUUUCUUUUCUUUUCUUUUCUGUCGAUUUGCUCCCUUUGUUUCUCACAGUUUCUGCCGAUUUGCUCCCUCUGUUUCUCAUAGUUCUCCACACGCCCACAUCUCUACAAAAAUAACAGCCUUCAAAGUCGGCAGGAUUUUACGGCAUUUAUUUGAGCCCUGUUCUUCUCCUUCUUCCUAGAUGUGGGGUUUCCAUUCCCCAGUUCUUCUCGUCCCUUUCUUAAAGUCGGCAUCUUCCUUUGCUUUCUCCAGUUUUCUCCUGCCCAACACCUUCUUCAAGGUUCCAAGUUCUUUUUGUUUCUCCUUUAAUUUCUGUUGUAUUGAAUUCCAUGGAUGUUAUUUUAAUUUGAAUUUAAUUAUGCCUAUUGAGGUUGUUUUUGCUCUUGAGAAUCAUAAAAAA
rnacentral:lncRNA from 1 species